rnacentral:rRNA from 1 species
GUGACCGCAUGGUCUGCGUUUGGAAAGAUUUUUCGGUUGGGGAGGGGCUCGCGGCCUAUCAGCUUGUUGGUGAGGUAAUGGCUCACCAAGGCGUCGACGGGUAGCCGGCCUGAGAGGGUGACCGGCCACACUGGGACUGAGACACGGCCCAGACUCCUACGGGAGGCAGCAGUGGGGAAUAUUGCACAAUGGGCGGAAGCCUGAUGCAGCAACGCCGCGUGAGGGAUGACGGCCUUCGGGUUGUAAACCUCUUUUAGCAGGGAAGAAGCGAAAGUGACGGUACCUGCAGAAAAAGCGCCGGCUAACUACGUGCCAGCAGCCGCGGUAAUACGUAGGGCGCAAGCGUUAUCCGGAAUUAUUGGGCGUAAAGAGCUCGUAGGCGGUUUGUCGCGUCUGCUGUGAAAUCCCGAGGCUCAACCUCGGGCCUGCAGUGGGUACGGGCAGACUAGAGUGCGGUAGGGGAGAUUGGAAUUCCUGGUGUAGCGGUGGAAUGCGCAGAUAUCAGGAGGAACACCGAUGGCGAAGGCAGAUCUCUGGGCCGUAACUGACGCUGAGGAGCGAAAGGGUGGGGAGCAAACAGGCUUAGAUACCCUGGUAGUCCACCCCGUAAACGUUGGGAACUAGUUGUGGGGUCCAUUCCACGGAUUCCGUGACGCAGCUAACGCAUUAAGUUCCCCGCCUGGGGAGUACGGCCGCAAGGCUAAAACUCAAAGGAAUUGACGGGGACCCGCACAAGCGGCGGAGCAUGCGGAUUAAUUCGAUGCAACGCGAAGAACCUUACCAAGGCUUGACAUAUACGAGAACGGGCCAGAAAUGGUCAACUCUUUGGACACUCGUAAACAGGUGGUGCAUGGUUGUCGUCAGCUCGUGUCGUGAGAUGUUGGGUUAAGUCCCGCAACGAGCGCAACCCUCGUUCUAUGUUGCCAGCACGUAAUGGUGGGAACUCAUGGGAUACUGCCGGGGUCAACUCGGAGGAAGGUGGGGAUGACGUCAAAUCAUCAUGCCCCUUAUGUCUUGGGCUUCACGCAUGCUACAAUGGCCGGUACAAAGGGCUGCAAUACCGUGAGGUGGAGCGAAUCCCAAAAAGCCGGUCCCAGUUCGGAUUGAGGUCUGCAACUCGACCUCAUGAAGUCGGAGUCGCUAGUAAUCGCAGAUCAGCAACGCUGCGGUGAAUACGUUCCCGGGUCUUGUACACACCGCCCGUCAAGUCAUGAAAGUCGGUAACACCUGAAGCCGGUGGCCUAACCCUUGUGGAGGGAGCCGUCGAAGGUG